rnacentral:rRNA from 1 species
UACAUGGGGUGCAAACGUUGCUCGGAAUUAUUGGGCGUAAAGCGCACGUAGGCGGUUCGUUAAGUCGGAUGUGAAAGCCCUCGGCUCAACUGAGGAAGUGCACCCGAAACUGGCGAGCUUGAGUACGAAAGAGGAUCGCGGAAUUCCCGGUGUAGAGGUGAAAAUUCGUAGAUAUCGGGGAGGAACACCGGGUGGCGAAGGCGGCGAUCUGGGUCGAUACUGACGCGUGAGGUGCGAAAGCGUGGGGAGCAAACAGG